GGGAACUCAAGAAAAUCCAGCUAGGACUACUGCUGUUUCAAAUUUACAUCCUGCCUAUAUCCAGAACGUAUUCUGACUCAAAGAUCUGAUGCUGCGCUAGGAAAAGGAACUUUGGUUAUACCAGGCAUGGAGAAUAUCUAAGAGAAUAAUAUUGUGAGACUGGAAAAAAUACAGCUACACUGAACAUCAAGGAUUGGGUUAAAGAGAGACUUUAGGGUAGAAUCAGCAUUUGGUGUACAAAUUCAAGAAUGUGGUAUGCAGGAUUUCUAAGAAAGAAAGUACCAUUGAGCAAGAUGCAGUAGUAUGGAACUAAAGAACUGAAACAAAGGAGUUUCAGCAUCACCAACUUUCACACCAAUUUUUCAUUGGAUAAUUAAGCUGAGAUGCAGGACCUCCCAAGCAACAGCCAAAAACACCAGGCAGAAAGGCUGAGGAAGAGAUUUCUUAAGGAACAAGCGAUGACCCCUCCUGAAUAUAACAGAUUUUUCUACCUGAUAAUGAGAAUUAUACAUCGAGUGGAGUAAGAGAAAGGGGUUGCUAGUGUUAUGCAGCACAAUGAGAAACUAAUUUGGGUUUCAGGAACAUGCUACUGUUACAAAAAGCUGAUAUAUAUUUACAAUAAAUAAUAGAAAUCAAACUUGACACUAGCAAUGGACCAAGUUUAGAUUGAUCUGCUCAAUCCUGAACAAAAUAUGGGGAUAGGAAUCCUAUUUCUGACAACUUGCAAGUUAAAGAAAUUACCCAGUUUAAUCCUCCAAAUAAACAGAGGAAGAUGAAAGACAACAGCAAACAACAAAGAAUGAAGAGGAAUGAGGUAAAGUUGAAUAACUAACAAAUCUCUUUUCGUAUCACAGGGAAUAACUUUCUGGGAUUCUUCAAUUAUAUUGCUUUGUGAGGAGAAGUGUGAAUUAAUCUUUUGCUGCAUUUUACUCUUCUGUCUGUUAAGUUUAUCUCAACAGAACAAUAAUGUUUGUCAAGCUUUGAUAGAGUUAGAUUUCACAAAGGGAGCUAAGAUCAAUGUGGUUUAUUUGAAUUUAUCUUAAUGUGAUAUAUGGCUCCAUAAAACUGUGCUUUAUAAUACACAGUUUACGGCUCAACAUUGUGUCAGCAGGAUAUGAUGGUUUAUUCAUCAAACUAUAGUUUAAAGAAAAUUUGCUCUAACAGGAUGCGUGAAUCCCUUUAGUAAAAUAAGGUAUUUAUAGCUUGCAUAGUUAAUAUUUGUUGAUUUCUUAUCUUGAUUCCCAAUAAACCUUAUUUCAGUUUCCUAAAAUAUUUUAUUUUCUAUUCCAAUACUUUAUUUAAAAUCCUUUAACUCUCCUCUAAAAAUUGCCACACAGAGUUGCUUUGGAGUAAGGUGAAACCAAUAAGAUUAAUAAUAAUAAACAAAUAAAUUAAUGCAUUUUAUUUACUGGCAUGACGCUUAUAAUUCUCAGCAUAAUUCUAUUAGAUCUAAACAAAACUUAUAGUACUUUGUGUUCUUUUAAUGUACAUUUUUGGAAGUGUCAUAAAAUAAGCAAUUCCUUCAAAAUCCUCAAUUUGAAUUUAUUUUAUUUCUUCCUCAGGUUAAAAUUUAUCUUAAAGAUCUAUUGGUUUUAAUGUACUGGUAUCAGUGCUCUUUAAAA